UGGGGGAUAUUGCACAAUGGGGGAAACCCUGAUGCAGCGACGCCGCGUGAGGGAAGACGGCCUUCGGGUUGUAAACCUCUGUCGCAGGGGACGAAGGAAGUGACGGUACCCUGUGAGGAAGCCACGGCUAACUACGUGCCAGCAGCCGCGGUAAUACGUAGGUGGCGAGCGUUGUCCGGAAUUACUGGGUGUAAAGGGAGCGUAGGCGGGAGUGCAAGUUGAAUGUAUAAACUAUCGGCUCAACUGAUAGAAGCGUUCAAAACUGCACUUCUUGAGUGAAGUAGAGGCAGGCGGAAUUCCUAG
rnacentral:rRNA from 1 species